rnacentral:rRNA from 1 species
AUACGGAGGGUGCAAGCGUUAAUCGGAAUUACUGGGCGUAAAGCGUACGUAGGCGGUUCGUUAAGUUAGAUGUGAAAGCCCCGGGCUUAACCUGGGAACUGCAUAUAAAACUGGCGAACUAGAGUUGAGUAGAGGGGAGUGGAAUUUCAGGUGUAGCGGUGAAAUGCGUAGAGAUCUGAAGGAACACCAGUGGCGAAGGCGACUCCCUGGACUCGAACUGACGCUGAGGUACGAAAGCGUGGGUAGCAAACGGGAUUAGAAACCCCUGUAGUCC